rnacentral:rRNA from 1 species
UACGGGGGGAGCAAGCGUUGUUCGGAUUUACUGGGCAUAAAGGGCGCGUAGGCGGCUUCAUAAGUCAGGGGUGAAAUCCGGCAGCUUAACUGUCGCAGUGCCUUUGAUACUGUGGAGCUCGAGGGAGGUAGGGGUCUGUGGAACUUCCGGUGGAGCGGUGAAAUGCGUUGAUAUCGUAAGGAACACCCGUGGCGAAAGUGGCUCACUGGGUCUUUUCUGACGCUGAUGCACGAAAGCUAGGGGAGCAAACGGG